rnacentral:rRNA from 1 species
GUGCCAGCCGCCGCGGUAAGACAGAGGUGGCGAGCGUUGUUCGGAAUUACUGGGCUUAAAGGGCGCGUAGGCGUCCCGACAAGUCAGGUGUGGAAGCUUCCCGCUUAACGGGGAAAUUGCAUCUGAAACUGUCGGGAUUGAGUCAGCGAGGGGAUGGCGGAAUUCCAGGUGUAGCGGUGAAAUGCGUAGAUAUCUGGAGGAAGGCCGGUGGCGAAGGCGGCCAUCUGGCGCUGAACUGACGCUGAGGCGCGAAAGCGUGGGGAGCAAACAGGAUUAGAUACCCGGGUAGUCC